CCCGCCCAUCGGGUGGUUUGACGGUUGGAGACGGACCCUCCUCGUCGUCGACGGACUGACCCCGGGGGGGUGGUUACUGCUAAACUUCACUCCCCCCGCUGGCUGGGCAACGCCGAAAGCCCGGUCACUGAUUUCCCCGGGGAGGAGGAGGGGGGACAUUGAGCCCUGAGGGGAAUCCCUGGAGACACAUAGGGAAUACAUGAGUUUACUGAAGAAGGAAAUUAGGAGGACGAAAAAGGGGCACGAGAUAACCUUUGGCUGUGAAGAUUAGGGUGAAUCCAAAGAGAUCAUCCGGCUAUGGUUUUGCUGGAUAGAGGUAUCCACGCGUAGACGAGCGACGUUAAAAUCUCAAAAAAGACACGAUCCAUCGCGUAUGGGGAGAUGAGCUUGGCUGCUCCCAACACUGCAUGAAGUUUCAAAAGCUGCCUGCCUAAAUCUCCCACACCAACUUCCGGGAGCCCAAAGAGUAGCUGUCUUUGGGUGAACUUAGAAGGUAACCCGGAUUGGUGGUUCUGGAAAAGCAGCCAAGAAGUCCAUAUUUAUACCUGUGAAACAAUGCAUCAUGAAAACCGUUUGAGUAAUCUGGCCAGUUUUGUUAUUUUCUUUAUCCCUUAACUGUGUUUGUCUUGUUUUUGUAUGAAUUGUGGUUGAAAAGAAAUACUUUGGGUGAAUUAGAUUACCAUGUUGUUUAAUUUUCUGCUAAAUUUCUUGUAUAUUUAAUAAAUGGU